rnacentral:rRNA from 1 species
CCUACGGGAGGCAGCAGGGAGGAAUAUUGGUCAAUGGUCGGGAGACUGAACCAGCCAAGCCGCGUGAGGGAUGAAGGUACAGAGUAUAGUAAACCUCUUUUGUCAGGGAACAAAGGCGGGGACGUGUCCCCGGAUGAGUGUACCUGAAGAAAAAGCAUCGGCUAACUCCGUGCCAGCAGCCGCGGUAAUCCGGGGGAUGCGAGCGUUAUCCGGAUCUAUUGGGUUUAAAGGGUGCGCAGGCCGUCUGUUAAGUCAGCGGUCAAAGCCCGGGGCUCAACCCCGGCCCGCCGUUGAAACUGGCAGUCUCGAGUUGGGGAGAGGUAUGCGGAAUGCGCGGUGUAGCGGUGAAAUGCAUAGAUAUCGCGCAGAACUCCGAUUGCGAAGGCAGCAUGCCGGCUCCACACUGACGCUGAGGCACGAAAGCGUGGGUAUCGAACAGGAUUAGAUACCCGGGUAGUC